rnacentral:rRNA from 1 species
CCGGCACGGGUGAGUAACACGUAUCCAACCUGCCGUCUACUCUUGGACAGCCUUCUGAAAGGAAGAUUAAUACAAGAUGGCAUCAUGAGUCCGCAUGUUCACAUGAUUAAAGGUAUUCCGGUAGACGAUGGGGAUGCGUUCCAUUAGAUAGUAGGCGGGGUAACGGCCCACCUAGUCUACGAUGGAUAGGGGUUCUGAGAGGAAGGUCCCCCACAUUGGAACUGAGACACGGUCCAA